rnacentral:rRNA from 1 species
UACGAAGGGGGCUAGCGUUGCUCGGAAUCACUGGGCGUAAAGCGCACGUAGGCGGCUUGUUAAGUCAGGGGUGAAAUCCUGGAGCUCAACUCCAGAACUGCCUUUGAUACUGGCGAGCUUGAGUCCGGGAGAGGUGAGUGGAACUGCGAGUGUAGAGGUGAAAUUCGUAGAUAUUCGCAAGAACACCAGUGGCGAAGGCGGCUCACUGGCCCGGUACUGACGCUGAGGAGCGAAAGCGUGGGGAGCAAACAGG